rnacentral:misc_RNA from 1 species
ACAUAUUCCAAUCUCACAUGACAGAACAGACUGGUCUGCGAAAAGAGAAGAUGCGCAGCCACUGCAUUUUGAGGUCACUGAACGCACUGAUUGGGGUUUUGCAGGACGGUGGGGGAGGGAAAAAGAUCACGCAUUGCUGAACUUCUCAAGGUUUGAAGCACCAUGUGUUCUUCAGAAUAAUCGAGAACUCAUUGAUGAGAAUGGAGUGAAGCAGUACUUCACAGGCCUUUUCCUUUGCAGACCAACUGGACAA